rnacentral:lncRNA from 9 species
UGAGGAGGUAAGUGGAGCAAGAGGGAAACUCACGGCGGGGUGGGUGACCAAUCUGGGCAAAGUGGCCCUGUCUAGACACGCUGGCGAUGCCAGUGCCGGUCAGGAGGAGGGUCUAGAAGGGUCGCCCUGGUCAGGAGGAGGGAUUCCUUUGGUCUGAGGACCAGGAGGAAGGAGGAGGACGACCUGACCUGCAGCCCCACGUCACCGGGUGAAGCCCGGGGUUGGGGAAGAAAGGACCAGCCAGUGGCAGGGAAGGCUAGACUGGGCGGAAGAGGAGAAACCAGCGGGAGAGGAAGCCUGGCGGCUGCUCCAGGCUCAGGUGGAAGCAGAGCUGAAGCAGGGGAGUGCCAGGCGAAGGUGGUGGCGGAGACGAAGCGCAGGCGGGACUCGCAGCUCUGUCCUGCAGGUCUCCUCCGAAAUGACCGUGUCCAGGUAGGACCCAGAAUACCGCCCUUCCCCCAGUGGGGCAGAUGCCAGGACAGACGCUGCAGCUGAGAUUAUGGUUAUACUCUUCCUUCUCAAAUUGUCUCUACGGCAGUUUUCACCCCUCUUUGGAGGGAGAGAGAGUGUGAGAAACUUCGGUGUUCCUGUCGCUCAGGUUCAACUUGGCAUCAACACAUGGCCCCUUUCUUUUCGUUUAUACGUUUGCCGACCUCAUUCCCCAGGGCCUUCUUGCAUUGUUCUACAGCAAAUCCCAGACAUCAUGUUUCUUCCAUAGAUAUUCCCAUUAUGACGCUCUAAAAAGUCAUAUGUUUUAAGAACGUAACCCCAGUGGUGGUAUCACCCCCUUCAAUAGCACUGUCUUUUUUUUUUUUUUUUACCGUGCCCAUGUCAUGCAGGAGUUCCCAGGCCAGGGGUCGAGCCCUUACCACAGCAGUGACAACACUGGAUUCCCGUAAGCACUAGGCCACCAGGGAACUCCUGACACUGUCAUUCUUCAGAUUCCCGGUCGUCCGUUCCGUUCCGUUUCCCCGCCUGUCUCAUUUUUUAAAAAAUAGUUGGUUUUGUUUGAUUCGGGCUCCGAACAAGAUCCGUAUGUUUCAUUUAGUUCAUGAUUAGUCUCAGCGUCUCUGUUAAUAAAGAUUAUCCUCAUUCCUAAAGGAAUUAUAUGUUGCAGUUCUGCCCUGUAGAGUGACGUCGCUGCCAACCCCAUCUCCUGACAGCUGCUGUCAAGCUUUCCUGAGUUUUGUGGAACCGUGUUGUGAUUUUCGAGGCUUCUGCAUUAUUUCUGUUGUCUUUGUGGUUUAAUGUAACCCGUCAUGUUUUUCCUUCCUUCAAUACGUCUUUCUUGAGAGCCUCCUCUGUGCCAGGCGCUGUACCAGGCCCUUGGCAUCCGGCUGCGAACAGACAGACUCUCGAGAAGCAUACAGUCUGAGCCCUGCGAGGGUUGUGGGUCUGCUCACUGUCCCCCAGCCCGUGUGCAUCCCAGCCAAGUUGAUGACCACGACACCCGUCCCUUCUGUGCUCACCCAUCGGCCACGCCAAGGGCUUCGUCUUCAUGUUCUCAUGCUGUCCUUUUAUGUGGUUGAUAAGUGGUGUCCCCAGUACUGAUGAAGAGCCCCGGGUGUGCCUUCUAUGGAAGGCCCCUGUUUCAGAGCCCCGCCCUGGGAUUCCAGCAGUGUCACCAAGGGACUGUCUGUGUGUCCAUUCGAUGCUCUUGGGCUUGAGCCUUUGUAGCUAAGCAGGGUAACAUGGAACUCCUGCUUAACUGGCGGAUUGUCCAGAGGCUGACCAAAAACAUCUGGAAGGUGCCCGGAGCUGUUGAGGGGCUCGGCGCCGGCCAAGCCCUGCUAGUGUGUUCUUUGAGCAGGUGGAUUUGCGGUGGGUUGGGGCUUUUGCUGUAAUGAUUAGGCUACCUGCCUGAAGAAGCCUGCUUUCUCAACCUGCUUUUCUUUGCUGGGCAGGAUGGUGUUCGGGGUGACCGUGCUGCCUCUGGCAGAAUCUAGUGGUACAGUUCAGGCUUGUCUUGCUAAUAAGACUCUCACUGAUUUGCAUUUCUCUGAAUAAAUCAUAAGAUUUAUGUUUGGCCACUGUGAUGUUUGGGUUUGAGAAUGGUCCAUGAUUCUUGUAUUUUUCCAGUUCAAAUGUAGCUCUCGUGCAGUUUUUGGUGGAUUAUAGCAUUUGAGCCUUUCAAAAAAAAAAAAUCUCAGUUAGGAGUUCCUGCUGUGGCACAGCGGGUUAAUGAUUGGCUUGUCUCUGUGGAGGUGCAGGUUCGAUGCCCAACCCGGCACAGUGGGUUAAGGAUCUGGCAUUGCUACGGCUGUAGGUCGAAGCUCUGGCUUGGAUUUGAUCCCUGGCCCGGGAACUCCCAUAUACUGUGGGGGCAGCUGAAAAAGGAAAAAAAAAAAUCCUGGUUAAUAAAAAUGAAUAUAUUUUCAGACACAAAGAUUAAUAUUCUUUCAGCUUUCCUAGAUUUUUUCUUGUAUACUUGAGAUAAUACAGAAUACAUGAAUAUACAAUGACACAGGAUCUUCUUUCACUGAAGGCUGUGUAGUUUAGAGUUUGGUGAUAUUUUGUUUAUUUUUUAUUAAGUAAUCUUUAAUGGUUUUGAUUGUGCACUGACACUGGUUAAAACUUUUGAGCAAAUUUCCUUGCCUGUGUAUAUUUAUAUACUGCAUUGCUGUACUGAUGCCUUAUAUACAUUAUAAAACCCCAAAGGAAAAGCUAAAGAGGGCUGGGCAUGUUGCGUUUUUGGAUGAACUACUCUCGGUCCCGCUGGAGCAGGAGCCUCUUCUUUGCGCUGCGUGUCAGCCCCGAGAUGUAUUCGGGCUGUUGCCCUCGCACCGCCCUCUCUCUCUCUUUCUAUGGAUCAUGUCCACGUGCUGCUGUUCUUCUCAUCUUAAGAAAAGCCUUCUUUGGAGUUCCCUUUAUGGCUCCGUGGUAAUGAGCCCAAUGACGACGAGGAUCCAUGAGGAUGUGGGUUCGAUCCCUGGCCUCGCUCAGUGGGUUAAGGAUCCGGCGUUGCCGUGAGCUGUGGUGUAGGUGGCAGAUGCGGCUUGGAUCCCACGUUGCUGUGGCUGUGGUGUAGGCCGGCGGCUACAGCUCCAGUUAGGCCCCUAGCCUGGGAACCUCCAUAUGCCGCAGAUGCAGCCCUAAAAGGUCAAAGAAAAGAAAAGCUACUGCCCAUGUCUCUGCCCCAGUGCAUUUCCGGUCCUUGCUCCCUUCACUUCCUCUUUCAGGUGCCUCCAUGCAGCUUGUCUCCAGCCACUCCAGAUGAAAGUGCUCUCGACAAGGGCAGCAGUGACUUCCUUGCGACUCAAUCUUGUGGCCUCUUCUGGGUCCCCAUCAUAGCAGCUUCACAGUAUUUGGCACAGCGGGUUAUGCCCGUUUCCUUGAAGUGCUGCCUUCUCUGGGUGUGUAUUUCUGGUCCCCCCCCCCCCGUCUCGUGGCCUCUCCCUUCUCAUUGUCUCAUCUCUCUGACGUCUGAAGUUGGACGGCCUCUGCAUCUUCUCUUUCUCUUUGCAAUCCUCUCCAAGUUGCUUCAGGAGUUCCCGUCGUGGGUCAGUGGUUAACGAAUCCAACUAGGAACCAUGAGGUUUCGGGUUCGAUCCCUGGCCUCACUCAGUGGGUUAAGGAUGCGGUGUUGCCGUGAGCUGUGGUGUAGGUCGCAGACAUGGCUCAGAUCCCCCGUUGCUAUGGCUCUGGAGUAGGCCGGCGGCUACAGCUCUGAUUAGACCCUUAGCCUGGGAACCUCCAUAUGCCGAGGGGAGAACCUUAGAAAAGGCAAAUAGACAAAAAAAAAAAAAAGUAGAAUUUGCUUCAGAGUAAUCCCAAGAGAUAAACAUUGACCAUGAGUUGAUAAUGGUUGAAGCUGGGUGUUGGGUACCCGGGGGUGGGGUAUUGUACUAUUUUCUCUAGUUUU